AUAUUUUGGUCAGAUAUCGCUCGUUUAAAAGGUUGAAGUGUUAACCUUCCAUUACCAAGAUAUCUUGUAGCUCUUCACGUGAUUGAUUGAGUACUUCUAUGAUGGAACCAGACACUUUUGGUGAUGCAAAAAUCUUCUAUUCCAGCAGGUGCUGACACCUACUUACAGUCCCCAAGCAUAUUACUACGUCUCCAGGGCCUCACAUGGACACACUUCCUCGACAUGGUAUUCCACCUGACCAGAACCCGAAAAGGAAUCUGUUGGGUUGUAGUUAAAAAGAUGACCCAUUUGUAUCCCAGAAAUCAAUGAAAGCUGAAAGAUACUAUCAAGACCAUCUGAACUGUUAUUACACAUGAGCAACAUUGCAGAAAAGCUUUCCUCUUUGCUACACGAUAUUCAGGCAGUUAUUGAAAGCAAAUGAACUUGAAUGGAGUACAGACUGGUGUCCCAUUGCCACAAUUUAAUUUUUAGAAGCAAUUUGAUCUCUCUUAUUGAUUGAUUGAUCUGUCUUGUGCAUUCAGACAUUCAGUGGUAUUUCUGCAAUUCGGCUGAAAUCAUGGCUACACACACACACAAUCAUGUACAACUGAUAACACAAGCCAGGCAGACAGACAGACAACCAGCCAGGCAGCCAACCGACUGACUGACCAGCCAACCAGCCAACCAGUGAGGAGGAGGAGGAAGGAAAGCAGCUACAACCAAAACAAUAAAUAAAUAAAACAACAUACCAAUCAAAGAUAAGAGAAAUGAGGGGAGGGGCAAAAAAAAGCAAAGUAAGGAUAAAUGAAAGACAGAAAGUAUAUUGACAAAAAGGAAAAAAAAAAGAGUAAAAAGAAAAAUGGGGAAAAAUACAAAUGUAAAAGUAUUUGAAUGAAAGGAAA